AUUUCACAGAAAGCCACUUAUAUAUAAGCUUUGAUGCAAGACAGAUUUCUUUUUGGACUGAAAUGUGACUUCUACUGAUAGUAGAAACUUCUUCAGUUUCCGUUGACUGUCUUCAACAGUAUUUCCUUUUUCCUGUUUAAUUUUCAGGGGACAGAUUGUAACAUUUUGCUUCAGUGGUGACUCUGGUUGUGGCAAGCUUGAAAGUUCAAGGACAAAGUCUCCGUUCAUUAAAACUUCCGCGAAUGAAGGACUUGAACAAAGAUAGUUGUCACAAAUCUUAUAGCAAAGAGUGUCUUAAAAUGUCCUAAGCAGUAUCUGUUCAUCUUAACAGAUUCAUGUUUGAAACAGCAGCAUGGACCUCGUCGAAAUGCUACUUGUGUUAGAUGUGAUUCAGUGUCAUCAUUAGCAAGGGAAAUUGCAUCCUGUAAACUCAUUUGCAUUUGGCAGAAAGUGAAUUGGAGAUCCUGGAAAGGGUCCAAAGAGAAACUUAUGCCAGUCACUUUGCUAGAUUUCUCCUACCAUGGUUGAAUGUUGUACAGAGCAACUUGUGUCUUGCCAUUUUUAUUUUAUUAUUUUGAUGGCAGCCUGCAAGAA